rnacentral:rRNA from 1 species
UGGUGAAUAUUGGACAAUGGGCGCAAGCCUGAUCCAGCCAUGCCGCGUGAGUGAUGAAGGCCUUAGGGUUGUAAAGCUCUUUUGUCCGGGAAGAUAAUGACCGUACCGGAAGAAUAAGCUCCGGCUAACUUCGUGCCAGCAGCCGCGGUAAUACGAAGGGAGCUAGCGUUGUUCGGAAUUACUGGGCGUAAAGCGCAUGCAGGCGGAUCGUUAAGUCGGGGGUGAUAUCCCAGGGCUCAACCCUGGAACUGACUUCGAUACUGGCGACCUUGAGUCCGGGAGAGGUGAGUGGAACUCCGAGUGUAGGGGUGAAAUUCGUAGAUAUUCGGAAGAACACCAGUGGCGAAGGCGGCUCACUGGCCCGGUACUGACGCUGAGAUGCGAAAGCGUGGGGAGCAAACA